AGACAGAAGGUCACUGGCAGUGCAAAGUGGCUGAGAUGGGUUGUACCUAUGAAUUGUAGAAUUGAUUUUAUAAAUUAACAAGGGGGUAGAGUUGUUGAGAGAUUUGAAGGUAAGAGUUAAUCUUUUUUAUUGAAUCCUGUAGGGUACAAGAAGCCAAUGUAAUGACUGACAGAGGAGUUAAAUGUGAGAAGAGAAGCGGGAGAGAAAAAUCUGACUGGCAGCAGCAGUCAUUAUGGACUGCUGUAUGGAGGCAGUAUGGUUUCUGGAGUAGUCAGUGCGAGAAAUCACAAGAGCAUGAGCCAACUUCUUAGUAGCAUCUUAAAAUGAUUAUAUUGAGGGAGGAGAAGAAGCACAGUGUGAGUUUUAGAAAGCACAAGGACUUCCAGUCGGAGACAGAAGAGAGGCAACUGGAGAUUCACUCUAAGACAGCAGGAGAGAGAUCAUUGGAGCAGAGGAAUAUUAGGGGAAGAGAGGAUUAUCUGGGUGUCAUCAGCAUAUUGGUGGUAGUGAAACCCAAAAGAAUGGUAAAGCUUGCCAAAAAGAGGCAGAAGGGGACUGAGGACUGAGCCUUGGGGGGCUCCAACUUAGUCAGGAUGGGGGAAGAGGUGUUACCAGAUAGAGACAAUGAAAGAUUGUUCAUAGAGGUAUGAGGAGAACCACUGAAUGACAAUGUAAUGUAACAAAGGUCAAGGGUGUACAGAGUUUGGAGAAGGAGAGCGAGGUCUAGAAGAAUUAGUAUGUAGUAGUGGCCUUUGGAUACAGCCGUGAUUAGAUCAUUAGUUAGUUUAG